rnacentral:rRNA from 1 species
AGGGCUGUUGGCGGAUGCCUAGGCACUGUAAGGCGAAGAAGGACGUGACAAGCUGCGAUAAGCUGCGUGAAGCUGCAAAUAAGCGAUAAAGCGCAGAUUUCCGAAUGGGGGAACCCAUAUAGGGUAAUGCCUAUAUAUCUAAUAAUGAGUAAAGUAGUUAUUAGAAGCGAGACUGAGGGAAUUGAACCAUCUUAGUACCUCAAGGAGUAGAAAUCAAACGAGAUUCCGGAAGUAGUGGCGAAUGAAACCGGAGGAGCCCAAACCAUGAAAGCAUGCUUUUGUGGGGUUGUAGGACUGAAAUGUUAUAGAUAAUUUAUAGCAGAAUACGAUGGGAAGCGUAAUCGAAGAGGGUGAAAGUCCCGUAAGCGAAAUGAAUUAUUUAUAUAUCAGGAUCCUGAGUACGACCGGACACGUGAAAUCCGGUUGGAAGCAGGGUGGACCACCAUCCAAGGCUAAAUACUAGACAGUGACCGAUAGAGAAGAAGUACCGUGAGGGAAAGGCGAAAAGAACCCCGGGAGGGGAGUGAAAUAGAACCUGAAACCGACAGCUUACAAGCCGUAGGAGCAUCUAUUAAGGUGUGACUUCGUGCCUUUUGCAUAAUGAGCCGGCGAGUUAUUAUAUGUUGCAAGGUUAAGUGAUAGAAGUCACGCAGCCGAAGGGAAACCGAGUCAGAAUAUGGCAAUAUAAGUAGCAUGUAAUAGACCCGAAGCCAAGUGAUCUAUCCAUGUCCAGGCUGAAGCUUGAGUAAAAUCAAGUGGAGGGCCGAACCCACGUGUGUUGAAAAAUGCGGGGAUGAGGUGUGGAUAGGGGUGAAAGGCCAAACAAACUUGGCGAUAGCUGGUUCUCUCCGAAAUAGUUUUAGGACUAGCCUUGUAUGUUCAGUAUUGGAGGUAGAGCACUGAUUGGACUAGGGCCCUUCACCGGGUACCAAACCCAGAUAAACUAAGAAUGUCAAUACUCAAGAGUACAGGAGUCAGGCUAUGUGCUAUAAUGUUCAUAGCCGAGAGGGGAAGAACCCGGACCGCCAGCUAAGGUCCCUAAUAUAUGCUAAGUGGGAAAGGAAGUGAAAUUGCGAAGACAGCCAGGAAGUUGGCUCAGAAGCAGCCAUUCUUUAAAAGAGUGCGUAAUAGCUCACUGGUCGAGUGAUUUUGCGCCGACAAUGUAACGGGGCUAAGCAUAUAACCGAAGCUGCGGAUUUAUAGAUACUGAGGUAUUUAUAAGUGGUAGGAGAGCGUUGUAUAUACCGAAGAAGCGCAAUGGCGAUGUUGUGUGGAGGGAAUACAAGUGAAGAUGCCGGCAUGAGUAACGAAAAAACGGAUAAAAAAACUGUUCGCCGAAAACUCAAGGAUUUCUGGGUAAAGGUAAUCUUCCCAGAGUAAGUCGGACCCUAAGGAGAGGCUGAGAAGCGUAACUGAUGGGAAACUGGUUCAUAUUCCAGUACCUGUUAAAUGAGUGAAGGGAUGACACAGGAGGUGAGUUCAGACCCGGGCGUUGGUUGACCCGGGGGAGGUAGCAAGCAGAAGAAGGCGAUAGUAAAAUGCGUUGCCGGAUGUGAGUUACUGAAGGAGUUUUAUCUACGGAUAAGAUGAAGCUGAAUAGUCAGACUGUCAAGAAAUAAUCUCUAAGCGUUAAUCAUUUAUCAGACCGUACCGUAAACCGACACAGGUGAGAGGGUUGAAAAUACUAAGGCGCUCGAGAUAACUAUCGUUAAGGAAUUCGGCAAAUUACAUCCGUAACUUAGGAAUAAGGAUGGCCUACUCCACGUGAUGGAGAGGUUGCAGAGAAUAGGUUCAAGCGACUGUUUACCAAAAACACAGGACUCUGCGAACCAGCAAUGGGAAGUAUAGGGUCUGACACCUGCCCGGUGCUGGAAGGUCAAGAGGAGAUGUCAGCCGUAAGGUGAAGCAUUGAAUUUAAGCCCCAGUAAACGGCGGCCGUAACUAUAACGGUCCUAAGGUAGCGAAAUUCCUUGUCGGGUAAGUUCCGACCUGCACGAAUGGUGUAACGACUUGAACACUGUCUCAACGAUAGACUCGGUGAAAUUGGAAUAGCGGUGAAAAUACCGCUUACCCAUGACUAGACGGAAAGACCCCGUGAACCUUUACUGUAGCUUGGUAUUGUUAUUUUAUAAAUGAUGUGUAGGAUAGGUGGGAGACUGAGAAGUUUGUGCGCCAGCAUAGAUGGAGUCACUGUUGAAAUACCACCCUUCGUUUAUGAAGUAUCUAACUGUGUUCGUGAAACCGGACGCAGGACAAUUCCAGGUGGGCGGUUUGACUGGGGCGGUCGCCUCCUAAAUUGUAACGGAGGCGUGCAAAGGUUCCUUCAGCAUGGUUGGAAAUCAUGCAGAGAGUGCAAUAGCAGAAGGGAGCUUAACUGUGAGACUGACAAGUCGAGCAGGUACGAAAGUAGGUUAUAGUGAUCCGGCGGUAGCGAGUGGAAGUGCCGUCGCUCAACGGAUAAAAGGUACUCCGGGGAUAACAGGCUGAUCUUGCCCAAGAGUUCAUAUCGACGGCAAGGUUUGGCACCUCGAUGUCGGCUCAUCGCAUCCUGGGGCUGGAGAAGGUCCCAAGGGUAUGGCUGUUCGCCAUUUAAAGCGGUACGUGAGCUGGGUUCAGAACGUCGCGAGACAGUUCGGUCCCUAUCUGUCAUGGGCGUUGGAUAUUUGAGGGGAGCUGCUCCUAGUACGAGAGGACCGGAGUGGACAUACCUCUGGUGUACCGGUUGUACUGCCAAGUGCAUAGCCGGGUAACUAAGUAUGGAAAGGAUAACCGCUGAAAGCAUCUAAGUGGGAAGCCUGCCUCAAGAUGAGAUAUCCCCUAGAGUUAAACUCUACUGAAGAGCCGUUCGAGAUGAGGACGUUGA